AACCGUUGAGUUAAAGCUCGUAAUUCACCUUGGGUCUGGUUGGCCCGGUCCGCCUACCUUUAGUACUGGUCCGGCUGGACCUUUCCUUCUGGGUGAACCUCAUGGCCCUCCACUGGCUUGUGCGGGGCAACCAGGAACUUUAUACUGUGAAAAACAAAUUGAAAAGUUGUUCAAUAGCGACGCCCUUUUGCAUCGUUUURACCAUUUUACCUAUCGAUCAUUUAAGGUAGUAACAGCGCACGAUCGGCGUGUUCCUUAUAUUUCGCCUCGCGGUCUCCCCAGGAUACCNGCCAAGGCGUAUGCUUUUUACAUCAGGGUUCCUUUUCUCCCGCGGGGAGCCGUCCGAGUUACUACUACCCGUCGUACAAGUUUCGCGCGCAAAAAUAUCCCUAAGCGUAUAUGAUGACUACCAAUUAUAGCACGAUCUUAGCCUUGGCCCUAUAAAGUAUAUGUCCCGACUCCUAAAACGGCUUUGGUGUUCUAGCCUAUUUUCAAAGCUAAGACGGGCUCAGACCUGGAUAAAAACGCUACACUAUCGGAUAUUUCAUCCCAAAUAAACAUGUUUACCAGAUACAAAACCCUGGUAAGGACCUUAACCUCCUGUUUUAUUUUCAAAUUUUAUAGACCCUUAUCGGCAUUCCCUUUCCCCUUAAGG
rnacentral:rRNA from 1 species